AAAGAAGAAGAAGACAGAAAAAGAGUUUUGAUGAUUGAGUGGAAAAGGAAAGGUCUUCCGGAAAUCUGUGCGUUGACGGUGUGUUGACCACCGAACAAACGAUGCCAAUCAGUCCGAAGACAUAUCUUUUCUU
ensembl:ncRNA F58F12.5 ncRNA